CAGCCGCCGCGGUAAUACGUAGGGUGCAAGCGUUAAUCGGAAUUACUGGGCGUAAAGCGUGCGCAGGCGGUUCGCUAAGACAGAUGUGAAAUCCCCGGGCUUAACCUGGGAACUGCAUUUGUGACUGGCGGGCUAGAGUAUGGCAGAGGGGGGUAGAAUUCCACGUGUAGCAGUGAAAUGCGUAGAGAUGUGGAGGAAUACCGAUGGCGAAGGCAGCCCCCUGGGCCAAUACUGACGCUGAGGCACGAAAGCGUGGGGAGCAAACAGGAUUAGAUACCCCUGUAGUCCCUGUCUCUUAUAC
rnacentral:rRNA from 1 species